UACGUAGGGUGCGAGCGUUAAUCGGAAUUACUGGGCGUAAAGCGUGCGCAGGCGGUUUGGUAAGACAGAUGUGAAAUCCCCGGGCUUAACCUGGGAACUGCAUUUGUGACUGCCAGACUAGAGUGUAGCAGAGGGGGGUAGAAUUCCACGUGUAGCAGUGAAAUGCGUAGAGACGUGGAGGAAUACCGAUGGCGAAGGCAGCCCCCUGGGCUAACACUGACGCUCAUGCACGAAAGCGUGGGGAGCAAACAGGACUAGAUACCCUGGUAGUCCACGCCCUAAACGAUGUCAACUAGGUGUUGGGGAAGGAGACUUCUUUAGUACCGCAGCUAACGCGUGAAGUUGACCGCCUGGGGAGUACGGUCGCAAGAUUAAAACUCAAAGGAAUUGACGGGGACCCGCACAAGCGGUGGAUUAUGUGGAUUAAUUCGAUGCAACGCGAAAAACCUUACCUACCCUUGACAUGUCAGGAAGAUUGCAGAGAUGUGAUUGUGCCCGAAAGGGAACCUGAACACAGGUGCUGCAUGGCUGUCGUCAGCUCGUGUCGUGAGAUGUUGGGUUAAGUCCCGCAACGAGCGCAACCCUUGUCAUUAAUUGCCAUCAUUUAGUUGGGCACUUCAAUGAGACUGCCGGUGAUAAACCGGAGGAAGGUGGGGAUGACGUCAAGUCCUCAUGGCCCUUAUGGGUAGGGCUUCACACGUAAUACAAUGGUCGGUACAGAGGGUUGCCAACCCGCGAGGGGGAGCUAAUCUCAGAAAGCCGAUCGUAGUCCGGAUCGGAGUCUGCAACUCGACUCCGUGAAGUCGGAAUCGCUAGUAAUCGCGGAUCAGCAUGUCGCGGUGAAUACGUUCCCGGGUCU
rnacentral:rRNA from 1 species